UUAUUACUCCCUCCGUCCGAAAAUACUUGUCAUCAAAAUGGAUAAAAAGAGAUGUAUCUAGAACUAAAAUACAUCUAGAUACAUCUCCUUUUAUCCAUUUUGAUGAUAAGUAUUUCUGGACAGAGGGAGUACAAA
rnacentral:pre_miRNA from 1 species